GCAAUUGAGGAUCGGCGACUGCGACUGGAGAGAGCACUUUUGCGGCUAUACUUUUUGCAUACUACUUACUGGAUUCUAAGUUGGGAUGAAGGAGUUAUUGGAUUUUGAAGUCAGCACAUGCAAUCUAAGGGUAGUAAGUAAACCGAUUUACUAAUGUUUGUCUCUUGAGCUAUAUCUUGAGCAAUUUGACAAGGUUUUGGCUCAAAAUUUCAAGAGAUGUAUAAUUUCAUGUUAGUAAACUUUGUACAUAAGUUUUAUGACAUUUGGAGUUCGGGUUUUUGAGUUAUAAGGAAAAUAUUUUUUCGGGUGCUUGUAAAUUAGGGUUUGGAGUGUUUGCUAGGAUUUCUUAGAUGCCAGAAGAUCGGGAGUGAA
rnacentral:lncRNA from 1 species